rnacentral:rRNA from 1 species
GAUCCUGGCUCAGGAUGAACGCUAGCUACAGGCUUAACACAUGCAAGUCGAGGGGCAGCAUGAUCAAAGCUUGCUUUGGUUGAUGGCGACCGGCGCACGGGUGAGUAACGCGUAUCCAACCUUCCCCUUAGUAGGGCAUAGCCCGUAGAAAUGCGGAUUAAUACCCUAUGUUGUUCGUAGAGGACAUCUGAAAUGAACCAAAGGUUUACCGCUAAGGGAUGGGGAUGCGUCUGAUUAGGUAGUCGGCGGGGUAACGGCCCACCGAGCCUUCGAUCAGUAGGGGUUCUGAGAGGAAGGUCCCCCACAUUGGAACUGAGACACGGUCCAAACUCCUACGGGAGGCAGCAGUGAGGAAUAUUGGUCAAUGGGCGCGAGCCUGAACCAGCCAAGUAGCGUGCAGGAUGACGGCCCUAUGGGUUGUAAACUGCUUUUAUACAGGGAUAAAGUUGGGAACGUGUUCCCUUUUGCAGGUACUGUAUGAAUAAGGACCGGCUAAUUCCGUGCC